AUCAAUCUACAGUAAAGAAAUCAAAGGAUUAUUAUAUAUAUAUAUAUCUUACUUCCUUAACUUUGAGGUUUUUAUCCUUCCAGUGCUUAACAUGUUAAGAGUUUAAUUACCCUCUAACAAAACCUCUUACUCUGCCACUGUAUCAGGUUGAUGAGGAGUUGAACAACAUAUCAUGGAAAGCAAUUGACUACCCAGGAAGUGACCCUCAAUUCAAACCUCCAUCCAACCUAAAAGAAAAAGACAGUAAAUCAAAAGAAGUUGAUGAAGGCGAAGAAGCUGAAGAGCUUUAUGGGCCUCUUUUCAAAGGCAUUGUCAAUCUACAACACCAACAACAGAUACAAGUAGCUGUAGGAGCCCUUAGAAAAUUUGGAUUUCCAGUCACUCUUCUUUCCCCAACCACCAAGCCUCCCAACCCUUCAAUGAUCAUCAAGUGCGAUGCAGUGGUGGUCGGGUCCGGGUCAGGCGGCGGAGUGAUAGCUGGGGUGUUGGCUAAUGCAGGGUACAAAGUGCUUGUAUUAGAGAAAGGAAGCUAUUGUGCUAGAACAAACCUGUCACUCCUAGAAGGGCCAGCCAUGGAAGAAAUGUAUCAAUCAAGUGGUUUGGUGGCAACUGAUAAUAUGAAUGUGCUUAUACUUGCAGGCUCUACUGUUGGUGGAGGGUCAACAGUAAAUUGGUCAGCUUCUAUUGAAACACCAAGUCAUAUAACUAGAGAAUGGUCAGAUGAGUAUGAAUUGGAGUUGUUUAGAAGCAAUUUAUACAAAGAAGCAAUUGAUGUAGUGUGUAAGAAAAUGGGAGUUCAAUCAAAAAUUGACAAUGAAGGGUUUAACAAUGCAGUUUUAAGAAAAGGGUGUGAGGAAUUGGGUGGUCAUGCUAUCACUAUUCCUAGAAAUUCAACUUCUGAUCAUUACUGUGGUUGGUGCUGUCUAGGAUGCAGGGAUGGAAGAAAGAAGGGGACUGCAGAGACAUGGCUUGUGGACUUGGUAAGGUCGGGAAAUGGCGUUAUACUUCCAGGCUGCGAAGCCAUUAAAAUCAGACAGGAGAAGGAACAUGGGAGAGAACGUAAGAGGGCAAAAGGCGUUGCAUUUGAAUUCUGGUGUGGAUCAGCAGCCAAACAGAUGUGCUUGGUUGAGUCCAAGGUGACUAUAGUGGCAUGUGGGGCUCUUAAUACUCCUCCAUUGUUGAAAAGAAGUGGGUUGAGAAACCCAAAUAUUGGAAAAAACUUGCAUCUUCAUCCUGUAACAAUGGCAUGGGGUUAUUUUCCUGCAGAAACUGGUAUGUGAUAACUCACAUACUAUCAUAUUUCUACCAAAAAGGUAACACGGCACAAACGAAUCACAGUAGCAUAUCACCAACAAUAUUUGGGUAGCUCACUCCAACCAAAGGAUUUUAGAAAAGGAAGAGUUUGUCAUGUGACAAACUGUGGUUAGAUGAAAGAGGAGUGGGCUACAAAAAGAGGAGUGCUAAGUGCCAUGUCUUUUUAGAAAAAAGUGGAAGAAACUCAGUCAAAUGCUUCUCUAAAAGCAUUCUAGUUUUGCUUUGUUUGUAGAAGUAGAAAUAAUCAAAUCUUAGCCAAAUAACACUCUUUUUACCAUUUUUCAAAACUUCAACCAAACACUGUCCAGUGGUGUUUGAAAAAGGAAAAUACACUUUUAGCCAUCCAUACCAUGUGCAUUUAAAAGGAUUCAGGAGUAAAGCACACACACUCAAAUUCACUUGUGGACAUCAUCUUUCCUAACCAAACAUUUGCUAAGAUGUCGUCUCACCCUUUUCUGUGUAAAAAUAGACUACACUUUUCCCAGCGUCUUCAAAAACAUCGCGAAAACGGACUUUUCGUGACGUCAACAACUAUGGACGUCGUAGAAAGUUAAAAUAACGAUUAUUUUAUUGUUACUUUCCACGACGUCGUUCCCCACCACGUCUCGGAUUAUGGUAACCUUCCGCAACGUCAACCACUAAAUGUCGUAGAAAGUGAAAUAUUGAAUUUAUUAUUUCAUCUACUAAACAUCGCGAAAAGUCGAAACAUGGUGUUUCAAAUUCAAUUUUCCACGAUGUUUCUCGAGCACACGCCGCGAAAAGUUGAAAAUAAUAAUUUUACUAUUCAACUUUCCGCGACGUGUAGUACUUGACGUCGCCGAAAGUCCCAUUUGAAAUGGAACAUUUCGACUUUCCACGACGUCUCUCGAAAGUAUGUUGUGGAAAGGUGAAAUAACAAAAUAAAUAUUAAGCCUUCAACGACGUGAUGUUCUCAAACGUCGCGGAAAGGACCGUAUUGUGACUAAUUGUUGUACACGUCGGCAAAAGAUGAUUAACGUCAACAUUGGUUUUAACGACGUCGUUUCAAACGUCGCGAUAGGUUCGAUUUCUUGGGGUGGUUGUAAGGCUCCAAACUAAUUAUGGAUCCAACCCUAAAAUAUGAAUAACGUACAGUGAACAUUAAAUAAUCAUAAGAUGAUUAAAGAACUUUGUCAAGAAACGAAAUAAAUUCGACUUCCAAACCUCCGUAUUCAAACAUAUGAUUCUGGCUAAAAGUAUGCCACGUGUCUUCCUUUUAAGAAAUUAUUUUGCUUAUUUAUUAAAAGAAAUUGAAAAGAAUAAUAAUAACAUAAAAUAUAUUCUGAGUGUCCUUUUUUUUCAUUUUGAAAAAAUUCUAUGAGCGAACCUGGAAAGCGACCAAACCAAAAUAUGGGACAUUUCUGUGCGGCGGUGAUUGGCGGCGGCGGCGGCGGUGACGACGGGGAAACAAAUCACCAACCCCACCAACACUGCGUGAUAGAGCUCCACGGCGGUGCCGACAGCUUCCACGACGGAGCAUCGGUAGAAAUUUCACAACAUGCAAACUCCAAUAAUGACUACUACUCCUCCGCCGGCCACCUCUCCGCCUCGGAAAUGGAGUCUCUUGCUGCUCUAUGCGAUACAUUUUUACCGUCCGUCGCUCCAUCCACCGCUGCAGAUAGAUCCACUGCCUUUUUCUUUGAGACCUCCGCAUCUGCUAUUGGAACUCCUGACAGAGUAAGUUGAAAAAUAUCAUUUUUUUUCUUUAUACUUUAAAUUAUUAUAUAUAUAUAUAUAAUAAUUAACUUACCAUUAUUAGUUGAAUAAUCUAUAUUUUCAAAACAAAAUAUACUUUGUAUGUUGAUGCAUGCAAGUAUAUAUACAAGUAGAAAGAAAAAAAUUUAACCAUUGACCAUGGUUAAUCAUAUAAAAAAAUAAAAUUUGGAAGGUCGGAUUUGUUAACAAUUUUUGUCUUUGAUUUUCUUUUUUUCAAAUUUACGCUUUUCUCGAUUUCUUUAUUAACAUCUAAAUUCUUUGUCUUUUUUUUUUUUUUGUAUUUUAAAAACUUAUUUAUUUUACAUUCCAAAAUCUUAGUCUGAUUUUUUCAACUUAUUUUUAGAAAAUCAAGAAAAAUAUCAAGCUUUGCAUGGUAACAUUAGACUGUGCUUGACAACAUUUUUUUUUUUUUUUGUUUUUUUGUUUUUUUGAAACUUUUAUUCAAUAUUUCAAAAUAUUUGAACUACUUUUAGUUAACUUUUUUAUAAAAAAUUAUAUUAACUUUUUUUCUUUUUCUUAAGAAAAAAAUCAAUGAUCUUCAAAUAAUUAGUUAACUUAGUAUCUAAAAUUUGUACAUAACCGGGUGUUCAACCUUAGAUCAAAACAAAGUUUAUGGUGAAGUUUAUGGGGCAUUUGGAUCAGGUUUCUAAUAUUUAGGAUUUAUAUAAAAAAAAAAAAUAGAACCAUUUUUGUCCAAACAUACACUUAAAAAGAAUGAAUUAUUUUUAAAAUAAUAGAUUUUAAGAAUAUUUAGAACUUAUAGCAAAUUUUAUAACUGACAGUCAAUAAUAUAAUAUGCUAUAGUGAUGAAAGAAUAUAAGUGAUAGAUUCAAAAAUUUUGUUGUAAUCUGUAAAUAUUUUAAUUUAUUUGUGCUAUUUUUAAAAAUAUCUCUAAAAUGAACUCGAAGUAAAUAGUAAGAAUAAGAAUAUAUUGUAUGCUUUUUUUUUUUAAUUUUUCAGAAUAAAAGAGUUAGAAUUUCGAAAGGAAAUUUUGUGAUUGGACUUGACAGCAAUAAAUUCUUCCUACCAUCUAACUAUUGUACUACCUCAAAAAUAGAAAAAGCAAAAAAAAGUAAAGAUUUUUUAUUUAGAAAAAGAAACUUUCUAUUUGUUACAAAAUGUGGUUUCUCUUCUCUCUCUAUUCAUCACCACAUUAUAGUUCUUACUUCCUAAUUAGUAAAAGAAAUAGUCGCUCUCCUAAUUUACUUUCUUUUCAUACUACCUACCUAUAUUUAGGGCUAAUUGUUUGAAACUCUGAACCUAGUUCGAACUGUUAUUUUAUCCGGUGCUUAUUAAACAUCAUGCAAAUUCAUUACCUAACUAUGAUUGUGAGACAAAUAUUAUUUUGUAGUGAUCUCAUUAAAUAACUCUUUUCUACUCUUGAUGUUGUAUAAAAUAGAAAAGAAAAAAAAAAGAAAAACCCAACUUCUUAGUAAUAGGUCUAUAUUUAAUAUGUAACAAUUUAGUCUCUCAAUUUUUAAAAACAUUUUAAAGUUGGAAUGUAAUAUUUUGAUAUAUAUGUAGGUAGGGGAGAUGAUAAAGGAGAGAGUUAAACAUCCAAAGAAAUGGCUAGUGAGAGUUACUCUAUGGUUGUUAUCAACAUGGUAUGGGACAUACAUUCUAUGUGGUAAUAAAAGCCUUUCAAACCAUUUCCCAUACUUUGAGAGAUUUUCAAAAGUUCCUCAAAAGAAAAGAGAACAAAUUGCACUCUCUUGGUCCCUAAGCUACUUUUUUCUACUUAGAAUGUUGUUCAGAACCAUUAAGAUCUUUUGUCUUCUCGCUUUCUUUACACAGGUAAGUUCUUUCUUUCUGUUCGUUACGUUUAUAAAAAAUACUUAGACUUCAUAUCGUGGAUAUAUCACAAUAAUUCAUCUUCAUGCAUCUCAUUAAAUUCAUCCAAUCGUUUUCAAAUAUUUAUUGUUUUUGUAAACAUUGUCGGCGUUUUCCUUUAUUUGAAAACAACUAUUUUAUUUAUUCAUUUAAUCAAUCAUGUUUUCGUGUAGGUUAGUAUUAAAUAUUCCCAACUAUGUCACUCCACUUGUCUUCAUAAUUCUACACGUUUUCAUAUAAAAAAGAAAAUAUAGAUAAUAUAAAUGUGGGUACCAACUACGAAGGUCCUUCAAAUCUUCUUCUUAAAAGUCAGAAUUUUAUUUAUGUCUUUUAACUCAUAUUACUUAAUACAUUUAGUUUUGGACGUUUUCUUAACUUUUUUCUUUUUCUUUUCUUUUCUUUAAAUUUAUUUUAAUUCAAGAAAAUGGAGUUAUGAAGAUACUUGUAUAAGACUUAACAUUCUACAUGUUUUUCUUUUUAAAUAGUUAUAUCCUCUCACAAAAGUUGUUAGAUUGAUCGUAAGUUGACUCAUCUCUUGUUUUAAAUCUUAAUCUAUUUGAAGUCUAUUAUUUAUUUUGACACUAAUUUAUAAUAAUUUUAUAUUAUAGCUUUUUUUAUUUACAACUUUUGAAAACAUAUUUACAUUAUCAUGUUUGAAAUUUGAUAAAAAUAAAUUUUUAUUUCAAUACUAAAGAAAAUGGAAACAUUUGAAGUUUGUAAAAAAUACACAUGUUUUUUUAAGUAAAUAAUACUAAAUUUAGGCAUUUUAAAGUGUGUGUAUAUAACUAAAUAAAAUGGAUUAAAAAAGUAUAGGAGUUGAUAUUUUAAACAAUCAAUUUUUAUGUAUUUUUCAAAAUAAUGCAAAUAAAGAUAUUUGAACAUGAAUUCAUGUUGAAGGUCCUACCCAUUGAAUUGUAUCCAACCAACAAAAUUUAAUCCAUUAAAGAUAUAUAUAAUGAUGUUUUCAAAACUAAGAUUCAAAUAUUGUGUUUUAUCCAUGAAAUUCAAGAAAAAUCACUACAAUUAGAUCCUUAAAAUUUCAUAUACUUUAAGUAAAAUCAUUAUGACCAAAAUAUAAAUAUAAUCUAGUUGAAUAGUAACGUAAUCUGGUGCCAUUUAUAUAUCAACUUGUAAAAUUACAUAACUUAUUGAUCUCUAUUCUUUCAAAUGUAUAUUAGAGUAUAAUAAUUUAGUAUAUAGUAACAUUUUAAAAAAAUUAUAAAUAUAACAAAAAUGAUGAGAACACUUGAAUUUUGUCAAUAAUAGAUUUUUGGGGUUUAUUAGUAAUAGACCAAUAUUUACAAUAUGAUCGUGAUAGACGACUCUGGCAGAUUUUUUUAUAUUUGCAAAUUUUCACUUGUUUUGUCGUUUAAAUAAGUUACUUGUAAAAAAAAUCAAUAUUUUGAGAGUCCAAAUUUAAGAUUCAUGGAGGAUGGAUGAAAGUAUAUAAUUAAAAAAACGAGACAGAAAUUGAAAUGAAAUUUUAUAAAUAUUCUUGGAAGGAUUUAAAGUAAUUUUUAUAGAUUUUAAAAAUAGAGAAAUGAAAAAAAUAUUUAAGAAAAAGUAAUAGAGGAAGAAGGAAAAGGACGUAUGAAAUUAAGAAUGAAAAGGAUAGUAAAGUAAUAGAAUAAAAGAAAUGGGUCCACAUUGUCUAUAUAAUUGAUAGUUGUAGAAGAAAGUUUGAGCAUUUCUGCAUUUCUCAUUAUUGACAACUGACAAUUGAAGCAGUCCAAUAGGAAGGUUUAUUUUGUUUAAUUCCUCAACCACAAUUUGUCACUUUCAUCUCUCACUCUUUUUUAUUCAAUCAGUUUUCUUUUACAAGGUUGACUUCCAUAAUAAUCUCUUCUUUUUAUCAAAAUAUUUUUUGUUUUUUCCUUUACUCCCAGUAAAUCAAUUUGCUAAUGCUUUUGGUGUUAUCAUAUGUCUGGGUAUAUAUCAUAAUUAUUCUUUAAAUUAUCAAUCUACAGUAAAGAAAUCAAAGGAUUAUUAUAUAUAUAUAUAUCUUACUUCCUUAACUUUGAGGUUUUUAUCCUUCCAGUGCUUAACAUGUUAAGAGUUUAAUUACCCUCUAACAAAACCUCUUACUCUGCCACUGUAUCAGGUUGAUGAGGAGUUGAACAACAUAUCAUGGAAAGCAAUUGACUACCCAGGAAGUGACCCUCAAUUCAAACCUCCAUCCAACCUAAAAGAAAAAGACAGUAAAUCAAAAGAAGUUGAUGAAGGCGAAGAAGCUGAAGAGCUUUAUGGGCCUCUUUUCAAAGGCAUUGUCAAUCUACAACACCAACAACAGAUACAAGUAGCUGUAGGAGCCCUUAGAAAAUUUGGAUUUCC
rnacentral:lncRNA from 1 species